rnacentral:lncRNA from 1 species
UUAAAACGUCCUUAACUUCUAAACUUCCAGAAGAUUUUUUAAGCAAAAUAAGCACAGGGAUUUUGGAGGAGGAAAUGGAAGAUUUAAUGAAAUUUGAUAAUGAAAAUGAAAAGCAAGAGACAAUUGAAAAUAUAUUUGAAUCAAUUACUAGACAACAAUCAAAUGAUGAUGAAAAUAAUGUAGCAGCAAAAGAGUUCUCUCUUACUACUGAAAUUAAUUCAAAUAAUUCAUUUGCACAAGAGCAGGUUGAAGCAAUGAUUAUAGAACAACAGAAAUUUGAAGACAUACAUGCAAACAUAGCAGAGGAAACAUUUUGUAUUG